rnacentral:rRNA from 1 species
AUGGCAAUUGUCCAUACAUUCGGGAAGCCUGACAUCUUCUUGACCAUGACUUGCAACCCUAAAUGGCGAGAGAUAACGAAUGAGUUGCUUCCUGAUAAGACGGUGCAAGACCGUCCUGAUAUUGUGGCUCGCGUGUUCUACGGAAAACUAGAGGCUAUGAAAGACAUGUUGCUCAAGAAGAUGGUCCUGGGUGUUGUUGUUGCUUAUGUGUACGUAGUCGAGUUCCAAAAGAGGGGCCUCCCCACACACAUUUUUUGUUGA